CCUACGGGUGGCAGCAGUGAGGAAUCUUUGUCAAUGGGCGAGAGCCUGAACCAGCCAAGUAGCGUGAAGGAUUACUGCCCUACGGGUUGUAAACUUCUUUUAUAUAGGAAUAAAGUGAUACACGUGUGCCAUUUUGUAUGUACUUUAUGAAUAAGGAUCGGCUAACUCCGUGCCAGCAGCCGCGGUAAUACGGAGGCUCCGAGCGUUAUCCGGAUUUAUUGGGUUUAAAGGGAGCGUAGGUGGGUUGUUAAGUCAGGUGUGAAAGUGUGCGGCUCAACCGUAAAAUUGCAAUUGAUACUGGCAGUCUUGAGUACAGGAGAGGUAGGCGGAAUGCGUGGUGUAGCGGUGAAAUGCUUAGAUAUCACGAAGAACUCCGAUGGCGAAGGCAGCUUACUGGACUGCAACUGACAUUGAGGCUCGAAAGUGUGGGUAUCAAACAGGAUUAGAUACCCGAGUAGUC
rnacentral:rRNA from 1 species